rnacentral:rRNA from 1 species
CCUACGGGAGGCUGCAGUGGGGAAUAUUGCGCAAUGGGCGAAAGCCUGACGCAGCGACGCCGCGUGAGGGAUGAAGGUCUUAGGAUCGUAAACCUCUGUCAGCAGGGAAGAACGGUCACUGUGCUAAUCAGCAGUGACUUGACGGUACCUGCAAAGGAAGCACCGGCUAACUCCGUGCCAGCAGCCGCGGUAAUACGGAGGGUGCGAGCGUUAAUCGGAAUUACUGGGCGUAAAGCGCUCGUAGGCGGUAUGUCAAGUCAAGGGUGAAAUCCCCGCGCUCGACGUGGGAACUGCCUUUGAUACUGGCAAACUGGAGUGUGUGAGAGGAUAGUGGAAUUCCAGGUGUAGGAGUGAAAUCCGUAGAUAUCUGGAGGAACAUCAGUGGCGAAGGCGACUAUCUGGCACAUAACUGACGCUGAGGAGCGAAAGCGUGGGUAGCAAACAGGAUUAGAUACCCUGGUAGUC